rnacentral:lncRNA from 1 species
GGGCGUUCUCCUUUCUAUGUUAGGUUUCCUAUUUGGACAAUGAUUGAAAGUUCAAAAUUAGUUUGAACUAAUGUCCUAAUUAAAUUAGGUCAUGGGGUGCCACAUCUAUAAAAUGAGGACCUCUUAACCAUCGGUGGAAUAAAAAUUUUGUGCAGCAAAAAACUCUUAAAACCACUGUGAGAAAAAGAGAUCGUGAGAG